GGAUGCUGAAAAUGACAUAAGAGAGCAACUGGCUGACCCAUCCCCUAUUUAUACCCGUCUGAGCAUUUAAUGCUCACAGUGUUCCAGGCGGUGCAUCGGUUAGCGGGAUGCACCGGCUAUUUCUGACACGUCUCACAAAUAUUUCAGAAAUUCCAUAAUAAAAGGGAUCGGCUAGUUAGAGAUCGGUGAAUUAAGGCGAAUGUUUGGAAGCGUGGAUCGGAUAAAGGCUUUUCAGUUAGGAAUCGGAUCGGAUAAAUACCUCAGAGAUCGGAAGCAAUAACAAUAAAAUGAUAAUUGCCAAAAUAAAGUUUUAUUUCCAAAAAGUCAGAUUACAUCAUUUGG
rnacentral:misc_RNA from 1 species